AGAGUUUGAUCUUGGCUCAGGAUGAACGCUAGCGGCAGGCUUAACACAUGCAAGUCGAGGGGCAGCGGGGAGGAAGCUUGCUUUCUCCGCCGGCGACCGGCGCACGGGUGAGUAACACGUAUGCAACCUGCCCCUGUCAGGGGGGACAACCCGCCGAAAGGCGGGCUAAACCCGCGUACAUGCCACCGGGGCAUCCCGGAGGCAGGAAAGGCUUCGGCCGGACAGGGAUGGGCAUGCGGCGCAUUAGGCAGUAGGCGGGGUAACGGCCCACCUAACCGACGAUGCGUAGGGGUUCUGAGAGGAAGGUCCCCCACACUGGUACUGAGACACGGACCAGACUCCUACGGGAGGCAGCAGUGAGGAAUAUUGGUCAAUGGUCGGGAGACUGAACCAGCCAAGCCGCGUGAGGGAUGAAGGUACAGAGUAUCGUAAACCUCUUUUGUCAGGGAACAAAGGCGGGGACGCGUCCCCGGAUGAGUGUACCUGAAGAAAAAGCAUCGGCUAACUCCGUGCCAGCAGCCGCGGUAAUACGGAGGAUGCGAGCGUUAUCCGGAUUUAUUGGGUUUAAAGGGUGCGCAGGCGGUCUGUUAAGUCAGCGGUCAAAGCCCGGGGCUCAACCCCGGCCCGCCGUUGAAACUGGCAGUCUCGAGUUAGAGAGAAGUAUGCGGAAUGCGCGGUGUAGCGGUGAAAUGCAUAGAUAUCGCGCAGAACUCCGAUUGCGAAGGCAGCAUGCCGGCUCCACACUGACGCUGAGGCACGAAAGCGUGGGUAUCGAACAGGAUUAGAUACCCUGGUAGUCCACGCAGUAAGCGAUGAAUGCUGGCUGUCCGGGGGGACUGACCCCUGGGUGGCGAAGCGAAAGCGAUAAGCAUUCCACCUGGGGAGUACGCCGGCAACGGUGAAACUCAAAGGAAUUGACGGGGGCCCGCACAAGCGGAGGAACAUGUGGUUUAAUUCGAUGAUACGCGAGGAACCUUACCCGGGCUCAGACGGGGAGUGACUCAGGCAGAGACGCCUGUUUCCCACGGGACACUCCCCGAGGUGCUGCAUGGUUGUCGUCAGCUCGUGCCGUGAGGUGUCGGCUUAAGUGCCAUAACGAGCGCAACCCCCGCGUGCAGUUGCUAACAGAUAACGCUGAGGACUCUGCACGGACUGCCGGCGCAAGCCGCGAGGAAGGCGGGGAUGACGUCAAAUCAGCACGGCCCUUACGUCCGGGGCGACACACGUGUUACAAUGGGUGGUACAGCGGGAAGCCAGGCGGCGACGCCGAGCGGAACCCGAAAUCCACUCUCAGUUCGGAUCGGAGUCUGCAACCCGACUCCGUGAAGCUGGAUUCGCUAGUAAUCGCGCAUCAGCCAUGGCGCGGUGGAUACGUUCCCGGGCCUUGUACUCACCGCCCGUCA
rnacentral:rRNA from 1 species